rnacentral:rRNA from 1 species
GAUGAACGCUGGCGGCGUGCCUAAUACAUGCGAGUCGAGCGAACAGACGAGGAGCUUGCUCCUCUGACGUUAGCGGCGGACGGGUGAGUAACACGUGGAUAACCUACCUAUAAGACUGGGAUAACUUCGGGAAACCGGAGCUAAUACCGGAUAAUAUAUUGAACCGCAUGGUUCAAUAGUGAAAGACGGUUUUGCUGUCACUUAUAGAUGGAUCCGCGCCGCAUUAGCUAGUUGGUAAGGUAACGGCUUACCAAGGCAACGAUGCGUAGCCGACCUGAGAGGGUGAUCGGCCACACUGGAACUGGGACACGGUCCAGACUCCUACGGGAGGCAGCAGUAGGGAAUCUUCCGCAAUGGGCGAAAGCCUGACGGAGCAACGCCGCGUGAGUGAUGAAGGUCUUCGGAUCGUAAAACUCUGUUAUUAGAGAAGAACAAAUGUGUAAGUAACUAUGCACGUCUUGACGGUACCUAAUCAGAAAGCCACGGCUAACUACGUG